UGGAAAGAAAAGGCCUCAACAAAACAGUCUC
rnacentral:piRNA from 1 species